rnacentral:rRNA from 1 species
UACGUAGGGGGCGAGCGUUGUCCGGAAUUACUGGGCGUAAAGCGUGCGCAGGCGGUUUUGUAAGUCUGUCGUGAAAUCCCCGGGCUCAACCUGGGAAUUGCGAUGGAGACUGCAAGGCUAGAAUCUGGCAGAGGGGGGUAGAAUUCCACGUGUAGCAGUGAAAUGCGUAGAGAUGUGGAGGAACACCGAUGGCGAAGGCAGCCCCCUGGGUCAAGAUUGACGCUCAUGCACGAAAGCGUGGGGAGCAAACAGG